rnacentral:misc_RNA from 1 species
AAAAUUUAUGAAGGUUUCAUGGAAUAGUAAAGGUAAAAGUAAACAGGGCAUCGAAACUGCCGUAUUAGUGGUGCGAAGACGGGGCAUCAAAAGUAAACUAUACUAAAAGUUCUCCUCAGGGGAGGAAGAACACUUUUUAGUGUAUUCGAGUGAUUGAAAUUUUUAGAUGUGUAGCAGUCAUUAUACUUGUGGAAUAUGAAUCCCACACAUGGCAAAAGAAUAGUUAUCAUUUCCAUGGAGUAGCUAUCGCAUUCCUACUCUCUGUAUUAUGUUUUGUGAAUCAAAGCAAGCCGCAACCCAAACAUGUUCUAGUCCAAUUCGCCAUGGACCUGCAACGCAUGUUACAUUACGUGAAUCUAAACCACAUUUUUUCUACGCAUUAGCUGCAACAAUCCAACUCUCAAUUCAUGAGCUAAACCCAAUGCAUCCAAACAGCAAAUGGUAUCAUCCACCAGGCAGUGAAAGCAGACAUGAAUAUUUCCUACAAUCAAUGAACAAGAUCAUCCCUUCUUUUUCAAUUAAGGCGCAGGUCAACAGUUGGAAUAAAAUUAUGAUAUAUUUCUGCAAAAGAGAAUGCCACAUAUAGAAUGUUAAGCUAACCAUACCUUACAUUCACCCAGUCCAAGCCAUAAGCAGACAUUAAACGUAAGUAGACAUCCAUUAAUAGAAAUCAUCCUAAAAGCAAGCUUCCCUUACGAAACCAGCAAGCCACCCCUUAAACCUAUUUCGACCAGAUACAUAGAUUUCUUAUCGGCCAUUGUGCUCUGCAAGCCUUGGCCUGCACACCAUUUGUUCAAGAAACUUGGAAAGACGCAAAUGCUUUGCAGCCCAUUGCUCAGCUAAUUUCUGCUCCUUGGUUUCAGCAUCUCUUCUCAAUUCAGCUAGCUGUUCCCUGUAUUCUGCUUCAAUUCUGUCAAGAGAGGCCUUCUGCUCUUCCCUAAGAGCCUUGAUCUUUGACUCUAUCUCUUCCAUUUUCUCCCUCCUCCGGCAUGACUUCUCUGACUCCAGCUGCAACUCUACCCUUUUUAGCCUCCAGGCAGCUUCCUUCUUAUGUGCAGCCCAUGCACGAUGCCCUUCUUCCAACUCUCUGCAACACUCCAUCAACUCAGAUACCAUCAAAUUCUCACCAGGGACUGAUCCAUGGGGUGGCAAACUUCCUAAAACAAAAGCAGUGUUCUCCUGUCCUCUCUCAGGCUGCAGCCAGGGGAUUGAAGGAGGCGGUGCAGCAACUGUUGAAGGUGAGAGGCUUAGUGUUACAGAAGGGGAGGGUGGCCUGACAGCUGAUGUGCUGUUGGAAGUGGAAAGCCAGGGGGGAAGCAGAGUUGGUGCAGGAGGGGGAUCAGUAUGAAGAAAGCCCCCAUUGGAAGUGGCCAUGACAAAUGCUGGAGUAGGGCGUUCUUUCACUAGCUUCUCCGCAAAAGUCUCUAGAAUCCUAUCGUAUUUGCCCUCGUCAAUUGGUUCUACUGUCUUGUUGUUUUCCUUCUGCUCUCUUUGCUGCUUCUCCUUGAACACUUCCCACCACUUUCCAAGUCUCUUAGCAGUUCGGCCUGGAACUUCAGCCGCGAUUUUCUUCCAUUUGUUACCGUGUUUGGCUUGAAGUCGGAUAACAAGACGCUGCUCUUCUUCAGUAAGGGAUCCUUUCUUUAUACCAGGCUUGAGGUAGUUCUUCCACCUUUCUAAGCAGGAUUUGGCAUCCCUGUUUAGGGUUGUGUUCAUGCGCUGUGACACAAGGUUCCACUCUUUUGGACCAUAUUGUUUAACAUAUGCACGUAACAAAGCGUCCUCUUCAGCUCUCCAACGCUGCCUCUCCUUCAUUUCCAGGUGCAAAUGCCACUGCCCAUUGCCUUAAAUUCUUCAUAAUGUAUAUUUUUCAUCAAGUACUUAAAACCAAGGUUCUUCUUCGACGCAUCUCCUGCACGAUACUAUGAACGACACACAA